rnacentral:lncRNA from 1 species
AGUCUCGAAUCCACCUCACGGGAACAAAAGAAAGCUGACCACAAACAUCUACCAGCAUCCCGUGGGUACAUGAUGGGAGGCAUCAGUGGGAGGAGUCCCGAAGGAGGACUCAGCUCAAGGCUUCCAGAAGGAAGAGGAACACAGGUGUCAUCACCUGACUGAGGUUCUGACCAAUGGAACACAGGUGGAAGUUGUUGGAGAAAACGCCUUAAAACGGGAACAGCUGCAAUAUCAGCUGCAAGACAUUCUUUUACCUUUCCACCUGCCUGGGACCUGGAUGUGGAACUGCAGUGUGCCUUGCAAACUUGAAGAGAACGACCUUGAUAAUGGAUGGUGAAGCAAGAAAGAGGAGCCUGAGGCU